rnacentral:lncRNA from 1 species
AUGAACCAAGGAAGUAUUUUGUACUAUUUCUCAUCUACUACCUUCUUUCUACUUGCUGACCAACUUUCUCUGUUUCCUAAGGCACAAGGCAAAAAACCUACCUACCGACAUGUACAGGAUUUUUAUUGGCCUACAGCUCCAACCCCUGAUUGGUUUUUAUGGAAUAUAGCAGAAUCAACAAGAAAUAAAACAGAAGUUGUUCAAAAUAAACUCUAGGGACGCCUGGGGGCUCAGCGGUUGAGCAUCUGCCUUCGGCCCAGGGCGUCACCCCGGGUCCUGGGAUCGAGACCCACAUCGGGCUCCCUGCGUGGAGCCUGCUCCUCCCUCUGCCUGGGUCUCUGCCUCUCUCUCUCUCUGUGUCUUAUGAAUAAAUAAAUCUCUAAUAAAUAAAUAAAUAAACUUUCUAGGAAGAGAAUUUUGUAUUCCAUUUAAUGUAAUUUUCCAAUGAUUCUAGCUAUAAUUUAGUUUUGUUUUCAGAUUAUCUUUUGCCUGGUUUGGAUCUCUGGGGUUGAACAACACUGAGAUAACAGUUAUGUGUCCAAGGACUUCUGAAAUUGGAAUUCGGCUCUAAGACAGCCUUAAAAUACAGGAAUAUGCAAACAAACAAACAAACAAUGGUAUGAGCAUAGGAAAAAAAAAAGGAAAAUUCAAUUCAAAAGGAGAAAGUUAGAAAAGCAUUACCAAAGAACAAACUUGGACAACUAAUAACUUGCCCAUUGGAUAUUAUUAUCUUCAAUGAAGUGUCCACUGAUUCAGCUAAUCAGACUGGGUCAGAUUUGUGGUUGUGUUCCUGAGGGAGGAUGGGAUUUCUUGAUCUAUUGAAGAGAGUUGGGGUUUCUGGUGAUACUGAGAAGGGACAGAGAGAGCUCUUGCAUACAUUGGAGGCAAUUGCAGAUACCUGGGUUGAGAAUCCAGAAAAGAAAUGAGAAUUCAAAGAAUUUGACAUUUUAUGGGACAACACAAUAAUUAAGACACAGAGUUCAGUGUGACAAGCUACACUAUGGCGUGUUGAGGUUAAUGUAAAACAGAAAAACUUCAUUAACUGAAGUGGAAAAAUAAGCUCUCCUAACAGGCCAUACAGAAGGGACUUAAUUUAACUAGAGAUAAAGUGAAAACAUUAACAUGAAUCCAUUGUUCGUUUUAAGGGAUCAUUGCUGUUAUUUUAGAGAGUGUCUCCUCUGAUGUCAUCCUACCUCCUUGCAACAGUCAUGUAAGACAAUCAUUAGAUGUCUAGAUUCAUUUUUAUGCGCGAUUUUGUCUUUUUUAUCCUCUAAUGUUGUUUUCUGUUUAAAAGAACCAGAGCUUUUCAAAAUCUGAUCCAGUGUCCUGGGGCGGAAAAAACUCAAGGCGAGCCUAGAACUUUUUUUUUUUCCCCAGAAAGCAGAUAGUUUCAGAGGCAUCUGGGUGUUAAAUAGAUAAAGAGGCCAGCCCGAAGAGAGGACUUUUAGAGACACCUGGAGGAGCAAGGACGGAAGCAACCAUUGCAUCAGUUACUAUGGUUUUAAAUACCACCUUGUUCUUAAAGAUUUUGAAUUCUUACAUUUAUUUUAUGUUUUGAUCUUCAGCUCAGGCAUUCUGGAAUUACCUCCAAGAGAUGCAGGUCCAGGGGAGCCUUCCUCAGGAAAAAAAUCCCACAAAUCCAACUGCAGUAUGAUGAGCAGAAUCAAUAGACAAUUGAAGAUAAUAAUAUGAGAUAAGCAAAUCAUUGUUCCCAAGGUUUUACUUUUAAAACAAUGCUUCUCUAACCUUUUCCUUUUAAAGUGAUUUUUCCUUAUAAAUAUGCGACUAUUUGCAUAUUCAUCUAUUUUAAGGCAGGUUUAAGACUGAAUUCCAAUUUCGUAAGCCAAGUUUGGUAGAGGAAUCUUGACGCUCUGUUGAUAGUUAAAAAGAUGAAGGUAACGCAAAGCAUACCAAAAGAUCACUGUAGUACAGUCGUAUC